GCCGCUGUAGCUCAGUUGGUAGAGCGACGCUCUCGUAAAGCGUAGGUCAUCGGUUCGAGCCCGAUCAGCGGCU
rnacentral:tRNA from 5 species